AACCUAACAUAUUUUUUGAGCAAACCUAGCAUGUAAUUAACUAAUAUAUCAAAUGGUCAUUAUUGACCAAUUAACUAAUAUAUCAAAUGGUCGAUACUGAUGUGUUCUAUGAAACAUGAGGUCAAGCUAAAUUUAUAAAUUUCAUCUGACGGCCACCUUGAAGUUUUUUCAAUCUUGAUAAACCAAUACUAAAACAACUGGGACUAAACCACAAUAGUUGCAUAUAAAAUAUUGACAUGAAUUGUUUCAAAUAUAUUAAAAACCAAAGUAAGGGGAUUAAACAAUGAAUGUAAAGAAAAAGGUUGAUAGUGAUAUAUAAUUAACUGAUAAAUAGAUUUUUAUAGACCAACUUUUCUUUUAAAAAAUCUGGGAAUUUGAGUUAAAUAUAUACUUAUGCAGAUCAGUAUUAGAGAUAGUAUAUUCGCUCGUUUAUGCGAGUUGCGUUGUUCACCGAUGUCAUAUACUCCCUCGUUUCGAUUUAAAAUUUUUGUUUCAAAAUAAGUGCCGUUUUAGAGUUUUCAAUGCAAAGUUUAUUAAUAAAAUUCUCUAAUUUAUUUUUCUAUUGGUUGAAAUAUGGUUAUGUGUAUAAGUAAUUGUGUUUUUGUUUUGGAAAUAUACAAAAUCAUAUGUUUUCUUAAUUUGUGUGUAUAAAUUUAGAAUGACAAUAAAAUAAAACGGAGGGAGUAUGUUGCAAGCUUUUAACAUUUAGACCCCAGAAAAUAUAUAUGUUACAAGCUGAAACCUCCAUUACAGGGAUUUAGAUAUGUUUUACUGUAAUCCUUAAUCCUUAUGAACAUCAUAUCUAAUAUGUAUGUUUGAAAUAUUGUAAAUGAAUGAACAAUAUAGAGUACGAAAAUGUGUGUGAAAGAGGCAGGGAGACAAGGUUGAGAAAAAAAUAAAUAGCUAAUCCACAUGUAUAUGCACAAUAUUACUCAUAUAAUCUUUCUUUUUUUUUUAAACUGGCCUAAUAUUACUCAUAUAUACACAUGCUUAUUAAUAAUUAAUCCUCACAUGGACUCUUUCUCGCUCUCGCCCUUUCUCACUAUAUAGGUAUGUGUACUUUUUGUUAUUAGCUUUCAAAAUCUUUCUAAAUACUUCAAAGGACAUAAUCUCAAAAAGGAUCAAAGAUCAAACAAUAUGGCAUUAAUGGCGAAGAAUAAUCCAUACGAGUACACAAAGAUGGAGAAAGAAGAUCCCCAAGAUUUGAGUCACACAAGAGCUCAAUUUCUAAUCCAGAAGGUUUUGGAACGGGCAGACCAGAAGACAAGACAGCAGCAGCAGCGGAGAAAGAGAUCAUCUGGACCGUUGAUUAUGAUCAGAGUGGUUGGGUUAAGAAUGAGAUCGGUAAGAAACUAAGGAAGCUGAGGAAGAACAAUACUUGUGUUUGCACCACUCUUAUCUCUCGUUUCCUCAAACCGUUUAAACGAUUUUGGUCAUCUUCUCCUUCUUCUCCAACAAUCUCUGAUCUUUCUCCUUUAUUCUCUCUUCAAGAUUGAUGAUUUGGAAUUGUUUUUUUUUUUUGUUGUAAUGCAUUCUCAUGUCCUUCCUACACGUCAAUUAAAAGCGCUAUAUAUGUGGCCUGAAAAAAAAGGCAAAUAGCUUUAUUAA